ACUCAAAUGAAUAGACGGGGGCCCGCACAAGCAGCGGAGCGUGUGGUUUAAUUCGAGGCUACACGAAGAACCUUACCUGGGUUUGACAUAUACGUAGUAGGGAACUGAAAAGGGACCGACCUUCGGGAGCGUAUACAGGUGCUGCAUGGCUGUCGUCAGCUCGUGCCGUGAGGUGUUCGGUUAAGUCCGCAAACGAGCGCAACCCCUGGUGCUAGUUACAAGUGUCUAGCGCAACUGCCCGUGAGAAACGGGAGGAAGGUGGGGAUGACGUCAAGUCAGCAUGGCCUUUAUAUCCAGGGCUACACACACGCUACAAUGGGCGGUACAAUGGGUCGCGAAGCCGCGAGGCGGAGCCAAUCCUGAAAGCCGUUCGUAGUUCGGAUUGCAGGCUGCAACUCGCCUGCAUGAAGUCGGAGUUGCUAGUAACCGCAGGUCAGCUAUACUGCGGUGAAUACGUUCCCGGGCCUUGUACACACCGCCCGU
rnacentral:rRNA from 1 species